rnacentral:rRNA from 1 species
CACGCAAGUGUGAAACUCUAAAGGAAUUGACGGGGGCCCGCACAAUCGGUGGAGUAUGUGGUUUAAUUCGAUGCAACGCGAAGAACCUUACCAGGGUUUGACAUCCUGCGAAUUCCUUGGAAACUUGGAAGUGCCUUCGGGAGCGCAGUGACAGGUGGUGCAUGGCUGUCGUCAGCUCGUGUCGUGAGAUGUUGGGUUAAGUCCCGCAACGAGCGCAACCCACGUCUUUAGUUGCCAGCAUUAAGUUGGGCACUCUAGAGAGACCGCCGGUGAUAAACCGGAGGAAGGUGUGGAUGACGUCAAGUCAUCAUGCCCCUUACAUCCUGGGCUACACACGUACUACAAUGCUACGGACAAAGGGCAGCAAACUCGCGAGAGCUAGCAAAUCCCAUAAACCGUGGCUCAGUUCAGAUCGUAGGCUGCAACUCGCCUACGUGAAGGAGGAAUCGCUAGUAAUCGCAGGUCAGCAUACUGCGGUGAAUACGUUCCCGGGCCUUGUACACACCGCCCAUCACACCAUGGAAGUUGGCCACGCCCGAAGUCGUUACUCCAACCUUGUGGAGGAGGAUGCCGAAG